rnacentral:lncRNA from 1 species
UCUAAUCUAUAUUAUUGAGUUAAGUGUGCAGGAUUAACUACGAUAACCAGAAAACACAAAGCAAGAAUACCGGAGUCAAGAUCGAUGGAUGUUUAAGAGUCCGAAGAAUCGUCGGAGAUGCUGCUAGAACCAACCGAGAAGAAAUCGGGAACCUGUCGGAAUUUUCGGAAGUUCGCCGAAGAGAUCGUCGGAGGUUCACGGAGAUCACCGAGAAGGCUCGGCUACUCAUUAAAGUCAUCACAAGUUCGGGAGCUUGCUAGAAGCCCGUCGGCAGAAAGUUCGUCGGAAAGCUCGCCA